GAUGAACGCUGGCGGCGUGCCUAAUACAUGCAAGUCGAGCGAACAGACGAGGAGCUUGCUCCUCUGACGUUAGCGGCGGACGGGUGAGUAACACGUGGAUAACCUACCUAUAAGACUGGGAUAACUUCGGGAAGCCGGAGCUAAUACCGGAUAAUAUAUUGAACCGCAUGGUUCAAUAGUGAAAGACGGUUUUGCUGUCACUUAUAGAUGGAUCCGCGCCGCAUUAGCUAGUUGGUAAGGUAACAGCUUACCAAGGCAACGAUGCGUAGCCGACCUGAGAGGGUGAUCGGCCACACUGGAACUGAGACACGGUCCAGACUCCUACGGGAGGCAGCAGUAGGGAAUCUUCCGCAAUGGGCGAAAGCCUGACGGAGCAACGCCGCGUGAGUGAUGAGGGUCUUCGGAUCGUAAAACUCUGUUAUUAGGGAAGAACAAAUGUGUAAGUAACUAUGCACGUCUUGACGGUACCUAAUCAGAAAGCCACGGCUAACUACGUG
rnacentral:rRNA from 1 species